rnacentral:rRNA from 1 species
AUGUCCAUUUGCAUGAAGUUAGGCCAGCAUCAGAAUAUCCGUAGCCUUUUUGAGGAGAUGAAGGUGAAGAAUAUUAAGCCGGAUAACCUCACAUGUUUCCUUCCAAUGACCAGCCGUGUGGCAUUGAACAAGAUAAAUGUUGUUGGAGAAGUUUUAGAAGAAAUGCAAGAAAAGGAUGUAGUUCUAGGGUGGUAUGCAUAUAGCAUGGUUUCUAUCUACCUGAGUGCUGGUUUGGUUUUAAAAAACAGUCCGCUCUCAAGAAACUCGAGGGCCUUGAUUUUAGAAGGUAACAUAAAUAUCUAG